rnacentral:lncRNA from 1 species
CUCCUGCCUUGGCCUCCCAAAUAGCUGGGACUACAGGCGCCCACCACCAUGCCUGGCUAAUUUUUUGUAUUUUUGGUAGAGACAGGGUUUCACGACGUUGGCCAGGCUGGUCUCAAACUCCUGAUCUCAAGUGAUCCACCUGCCUCUGUGUCCCAAAUUGCUGGGAUUACAGGCAUGAGCCACCGCACCGGCCAUGCUUUCAGUUUUCAAGAAAGAAGACACCAUUAUUGCCAAAGAUUUUGGUAAUUUGAGAGAUACAAUGUAUGUUUUCUCCAUGUGGAUACUAGAUAGUAAGGAUGUGUUGAAUUUGAAGUGUCUAUCCAGAAGUAUUUUGGGUACUUGUUUAAGGAUUGUAAAACAAUGUUUCCAUUUCUGGAUAUAAUAAAUGUAUUUGUUAAUAUAAUAAAUGAAUAGAUUAGACCCAUAAACUAUUUGCAGUGUUGAGUCAUUUCCCACAGUUAAAAUCAGGAUGAAAAUAUAUAGCUGAAUACCUGCUUUGUUUCUUGUAACUGAUUUCUUUAGUACAGAACCUGCUAAGGCCAUCAAACCUAUUGAUCGGAAGUCAGUCCAUCAGAUUUGCUCUGGGCCGGUGGUACUGAGUCUAAGCACUGCGGUGAAGAAGAUAGUAGGAAACAGUCUGGAUGCUGGUGCCACUAAUAUUGAUCUAAAGCUUAAGGACUAUGGAAUGGAUCUCAUUGAAGUUUCAGGCAAUGGAUGUGGGGUAGAAGAAGAAAACUUCGAAGGCUUAAUCUCUUUCAGCUCUGAAACAUCACACAUCUAAGAUUCGAGAGUUUGCCGACCUAACUCGGGUUGAAACUUUUGGCUUUCGGGGGAAAGCUCUGAGCUCACUUUGUGCACUGAGUGAUGUCACCAUUUCUACCUGCCACGUAUCGGCGAAGGUUGGGACUCGACUGGUGUUUGAUCACGAUGGGAAAAUCAUCCAGAAAACCCCCUACCCCCACCCCAGAGGGACCACAGUCAGCGUGAAGCAGUUAUUUUCUACGCUACCUGUGCGCCAUAAGGAAUUUCAAAGGAAUAUUAAGAAGAAACGUGCCUGCUUCCCCUUCGCCUUCUGCCGUGAUUGUCAGUUUCUUGAGGGCUCCCCAGCCAUGCUUCCUGUACAGCCUGCAAAACUGACUCCUAGAAGUACCCCACCCCACCCCUGCUCCUUGGAGGACAACGUGAUCACUGUAUUCAGCUCUGUCAAGAAUGGUCCAGGUUCUUCUAGAUGAUCUGC